rnacentral:lncRNA from 1 species
ACUUAUUUUUCUGCUAUGUGGGGCUGCUAGAAACUAAAUGAAAAUAAAAGGAGAGCAUCGGGAGGAGAAUAUAGAGGAAAGCAAGCUGCCUUUGCAGCUGGAGGAAAGCAGGUCAGCGACAAAGGGAUCCAAGGAAGUCAGAAGAAUUAGGGGACAGCAACUGGCAAAGCAGAGAAAAUGGAGGAGUCCACACGGGGGACGGAAAAAGAAUCCAAAGAAGGGGAAAAAGACUGACAGCUCGCAGAAGAAGGGGGGCCUCGGUGAGAAAGGAUAAGAAGACGCAGGAGAAGAGAGAAAAACGAGGGCGGUCUUGGGGGGGAAUUAAGGAAAAGGGGGAGCUGCCCUUUGGGCAGCUCGAGAAGGGAGUCAGCGUGAGGGCAGAAGAACAGAGGCAGGGGAGAGACUGACGCGAGAGGACAGGGAAGACUAAGUGUGCGAAAAAAAAAAUAAGAAAUAAGAAGAUAGAAGCAGAGAGACUGACGAGAGAGGCAGUGUGCAGAAAACAGAGAGGACAGACCGAGGGCAGAAGCAGCAAGCACUCUCCUCUCUCUCGGUUAAAUCUUUCUAAAUCUAUAUUUUAUUUCUGUUUUAAUAAUGUGUAAUUAAAUUUUAUUUUGGCUAGAGGUUAAUUCAAAAACAUGAAUAUAUUUGUAAUAUGAAU